UAUACAUGCAGUCGAGCGGACGGAUGGGAGCUUGCUCCCUGAAGUCAGCGGCGGACGGGUGAGUAACACGUGGGCAACCUGCCUGUAAGACUGGGAUAACUUCGGGAAACCGGAGCUAAUACCGGAUAAUGCAUUUCCCCUCAUGGGGAUAUGCUGAAAGAUGGUUUCGGCUAUCACUUACAGAUGGGCCCGCGGCGCAUUAGCUAGUUGGUGAGGUAACGGCUCACCAAGGCAACGAUGCGUAGCCGACCUGAGAGGGUGAUCGGCCACACUGGGACUGAGACACGGCCCAGACUCCUACGGGAGGCAGCAGUAGGGAAUCUUCCGCAAUGGACGAAAGUCUGACGGAGCAACGCCGCGUGAGUGAUGAAGGUUUUCGGAUCGUAAAACUCUGUUGUCAGGGAAGAACAAGUGCCGGAGUAACUGCCGGCACCUUGACGGUACCUGACCAGAAAGCCACGGCUAACUACGUGCCAGCAGCCGCGGUAAUACGUAGGUGGCAAGCGUUGUCCGGAAUUAUUGAGCGUAAAGCGCGCGCAGGCGGUCUCUUAAGUCUGAUGUGAAAGCCCACGGCUCAACCGUGGAGGGUCAUUGGAAA
rnacentral:rRNA from 1 species